rnacentral:lncRNA from 1 species
GGCUUUGUCAUUCCAAAAUGAGUAAGAAAAGGGAGGUAAGACUUGGACAAAGAGUUUAAAAUGGCAUCUUUCUCUAAUUGCUCAUGCAGAGAAAAAUCGAGCUUGCUUAAGUGCUCAAUCAUCUUGAUUAUGUACAGUACAUGAUCGGUGACUGACGCUCCUCUCAUUCGAGCGUUGAAGAUGACACAACUAGUCUUGUGCCUCUCAACA